UUUAUUUAUUAUUAUUAAUUGUCUAUCUACGGGAACUAGUUGAAGGAUUAGGGACAUCCGGAAGACUAAUUGAAAGAUAGGCAUGUUCUAUGGGACAUCAAGAUUGGGUGAAUCAAAUCAACAGUUCAGAUCACUGAACUACAUGGUCCAUUUUUAUUUAUUUAUUUAUUUUUAACUGCAAUCCUAAUCAUCUAAUCACUGGAUAGGAAAUGGGUGAUCCAUAUCUAUCAUACUAGAAAAGUUCCAUCAUUCUCUAGACCAUUCUUAAUGCAUUGUUCAUGAAAUGCUCCCAAAAAAUCACUUUGAUCAUAUGAUCUCAACCAUUUGAUUAAAGCUGAGAAAAUGGACAAUCCAUAUUUAUUACACUAGAAAAGGCAUAACCAUUUUAUAUAAUGUAAAAGCCAUCUUUCAUUGUCCAUCUCUCUCAAAUAACAAAUAUAUAUACACACACUUUGAACAAAUGAGUCGAACCAUCUGAGAAAUAGCUUGAAAUUGACUGUCAGUAUAAUUAAUUAGACGGGAAAGAGUCAUUGAUUUAGGGUACAACAUGAGUACUUAUCCCUCUCAAAAGUCAUGUUUUUGGUCACGUAACGUUACAUUAAUACAGAUUUCAAAAGAAAAGAUUUUUGGUCAACUAAAGUAAAACCCACUCCAAUCAUUAGAUACCACACAAAAAUUUAGUAUCCAGUAGCCCAAACAUCAGGGCCAGUAAUGAUUCUUGUGCGCACACCAUGGGAAACAGUUUGAAGAGAUGAACAUUUUCCUUAACUGUUUCCAAUUGUUUGGUCCAUCUGAAUCACAAAUGGAGCUGAUUUUUUGGUAAUGGACCUAACAUAAGAUUAAGCACCUGAUGGUCGGGUGGAUUUCACACAAAACAAAAAAAAAAAAAAAAACAUUAAUAAUAGGGUGGAGCCUGCCAUCAAGUUAACAUGACCCUUAUUUGGUGGACCAAUGUAUAAAUUCGCAUUGAAUUUACAACUUUAUUAGCUUGAUCAGUGAUUUUUCCUUGUUAAAUUUGUACGGUGGACUAAUUUUUUGUUUGAAGGCCAUUGAUCAAAUGGUCAACAUCAUCUUACCGGUUUGAUUUUUGAACAAUGGACAUUCAUAAUAGAUCCUGGCAAAAGGAUUGUUCGGAUGAUCCAAAUAUGUAAGCAUGCGUGCUCAUCCAUCAAAUCAAUGGUCUAGAUUACCACCUAUGCUAGUGACUGCUGAUAUUCAACUUCAGAAAGUUUUCAUGCCCCAAUGCAGCAUGGCCCUGUACUUCUGUUCUGCUCAUGAGUUGUUUUAGCAUAAAUUAGUGGCACAUUGUUUUUAGAUUUUAAUUAGAAAUUUUUUGACAUACAAGCUCUUACUCUUGUAGGAGCUACAGUUUAUUUAGAUUUAUUUAUUUAUUUAUUAUUAUUUGAUAUAUGAGCUCUUGCUUUUACAGGAGAAGCUAAGUGGCAUGCAGAGUCGAUUGGAUGGGAUGUAGAGGAUGGCUGUGAAUGAAAAUUUAUCUCUCUUUUAUGUUGUUUCUAUUGGCUUCUUCAUGUUUUAAUGGUGUGGGAUAUUAGGAUGAUCUUUUCAAACUGUAGUAUGACAAUGUGUGUACUUCGUGGGUGUUUUUUUUUUUUUUUUGGUGGUUUGGUUUGGCUACUAAUGUUCAAUACUUCAAUACAAUAAGUUGUUUCUGUAAUGCCUGAGAUGUAUUACUUUAUCUAUGUUUGGAUGUAAUAUGCUCAUUCAAAGUGAAACAGUUAUUUAGAGUGUAGGCUGGGGAGGAGAUCCACAAUGCUUCACCGGAGAGUUUACAUAGGUCCAUGAUCAAAGCUGCCCAACAGGUGCAGGUGCAGGCCACAAUCCUGCCUUCCCUACCCAAACUUCAGGUGAAAUUUGCUAAGCCCAAGCAUGGGUGGAGGUGGAGCCUUCCGCAACAACAUAGGCCGCAUGAAGGAAGGUCAGGACAACUCGGGGAAUCUUGGGAAACAUCAUCUUCAAGUUCAAGCACCUCUAGAACUGCUGGAGACUCUAGUUCAAUGCUGGAGGAUACAGAGGAGAAGAUCCUGGAGGAUAUAGAGAAGGAGAAGAAUAUGCCAAUCAGUUAGGAGCCCUGUCUUGUGCAAGAACUGCAUGGCCGCAAACUUCAGAUGUGGCAUGUGGCCUGGAUCAUUCUCUACUGAUUUUCUCUAAAUAUUUACUGGUAUAUUGCUGUUUGAUAUUCACAACAGACUACUAUUUUCUCUGAUGAUGCUGUAAUAUUAGUAAAGGGUAUUGAUGUCAACACCCAACCUGAUUGAUUUGCUUACCCCCCAUUUUCCAUUUUGGGUAUUCUAAAGAGUACAUUUGUGGUACUCUUUCAAGACCCAAAAUUGAAAAUAGGGUGCAGCUAAAUCAAUUGGAGCAGGCGUUAAUAGCAACUCCGCCGGUUAAUCCAAUAACCUGCAAUUGAUUAAUUUCUUUCAACUCAAAGGAAUGCCAUAAAUUUAUAGUAGCUGCAUGAAUCCUUACUUUCAAGGUGCUGACCCACUUCAACCAUUCAUGGUCCCACUACCUUUUGUUGCAAUUCCUGCUUUCUUUCAUUUCUGGUAAUGAGUCACAUAUAUUCAACUCCUGGAACACUAUAAGACAUGCCCCACCAUGUCCAUAUGCCAUAUACCAUGUAGCAUAGUGCAAUAUUGUAGAUCUGAAUGCAUCUGCAUUCACAGAUGCAUGUAUGCCCAUGUUAUAUAUUGGAAAUUGGAACCAACCAAGAGGUUCCAGCGGUGUCUGACACAAAUCCAGGGUAUUAGAUUUCGCAACUCCCCUGGUUAAUCCAAUAACCUGCAAUUGAUUGCUUUAUUUCAACUCAAAGGAAUGCCAUAAAUUUAUAGUAGCUGCAUGAAUUCCUACUUUUAAGGUGCUGGCCCACUUCAACCACUCAAGGUCCCACUACCUUUUGUUGCAAUUCCUGCUCUCUUUCAUUUCUGGUAAUUAAGUCACAUAUAUUCAACUCCUGGAACUCUAUAAGACAUGCCCACUACGUCCAUAUGCCAUAUACCAAUGCAGCAUGGUGCAAUAUUGUAAUUAUGAAUGCAUCUACGCUUAUGUUAUAUUGUAACUUGGAAUCAACCACAAGAGGUUCUGGCGUCAGACACAAAUAUGGGGUAUUAGAUUUCACAACUCCCAGUAGUUGUAUUGAUUGACAUGUCCAUGUUCCAAUUUUAUGUUACUGCAGUAUAUUGUGAUUCUUGUACAAAAAAGAAGUCCAAAAAAUAAUAUUAUUAGUUAAGCCUAAAAGCUAGUUUAAUGCAUUGAGGCAUGUCCACAAGUCAUCAAUACAUUUCAAAUGCAGCACAGUUUCUAAAAUAGCUGUGUUCUUGUUACAUGGUUAUCCGCACAUGCAUGGCUGGAUUGGAUCUGAUCUACUUGUGAUUCUUGAUUCAACUCUGUUCGUCAUCUAUUUGAAAAUGCAUGCACCAUACAGUGAUGGUACGCUAUUGAAUGGUGGAAGCAACAUAUAUGGUCAGUUGAGGGGGAGCCAUCAAAGGGUAAAAAAAGCUGCCGGUCGACAUAAGUUUCGAGCCUAAAUAUAUAUCAUCGGGUCUUGGACAUUCUUUAGUAGUGUGCCGGAUUCGUCACCUGAGGUUGCAGGAGAAGACACAAGUGUGCUUAAAUGAGGAUGGAACCGGACUAACCAACUUGGACGACGGGAGCCAGAAAAAUUUUCAGCACCAGUCCAAAUGCUGGCAGGAGAAAGGCCAGUGCCAGCAUCUGGUGGACAUGCCCGUUCCAUUGCUCAGUUGAUGAAGCUGAGCUGCCGGCAUUGGUAGACUGCUUGACUGGCUUUGAAGUUCUGCAGGCUGUGGCAGGUUUUGAUUAUACUCUAGCCAUUAUCUCCAAUUAGCAGCAAGUGUAAAAGCUAGAACAAGCUGCUUCUGUUUUUUCUUGUUUAUUCACUCAAAAUGAAUACUUUUAAGAUUCGCAUACACUGCCAAGUAGCCUUAGCAAGCUCCAGCAUUACAUGUAACCUUUUCGGGUAAUAUUAAACAUGUGCAUGUUCCUUCGAGUCACAA